GCCUGUGUGGCUCAGUCGGUUGGGCGUCCGACUUCAACUCAGGUCAUGAUUUUGCAGCUCGUAAGUUCGAGCCCCACCUCGGGCC
rnacentral:tRNA from 1 species